ACCCCGAUUCUUUCUGGAACAAGGUUAAUGGUUCUUAAUGAUAACCAUUAGAUGCCACAAAGUUUGCACUCACCUUCAUUGCUUCAUACAAGCAUCAAAGUUUUAAAUUAUAUUUCCAUGUUUAAGAUACUUUAGAUUUAUCUACAUUAUUAUUAUUAUUAUUAUUUUGAGAACAAAGAGGGAUGGAAUUCAUCUAGAAUUGGGUGACUUCACCAACUAACCUACUUGGCACCUC
rnacentral:lncRNA from 1 species